GCCUUGUCCCUAAUUGAAAUGCAAUCAUAAAUAAACAAAUUAAAAAAUAAAAUUUAUUAACAUCUUCAGCCAAUAAUCUUUGGCACAUAUGAUAUGACAAUUGGGUUGCUUUCCCCAUCUAGCUCCAUUUCCCUAAUGCAAUGACCAACAAGACGAAGGCAGACCCUGCUUAUGUCAAGGGAGGGAGAUUAUACUUUGGCAGUUCAUAAACAAAUUUAUUGUCGUAAAAAGAACCAACAGCAUCACACAAGACAACAUUCUCAUCUCUGUUUAAUCCAGACAGCAGCAUCAAUAAAAUGAUUCCCUCCUAUUACCGCCCACACCUAAACCACAACCCUCUUAAUUAAUCCUGCAGAUGUUUAUUAAGUAGCAUUAGCCUAUGAACUAAUUGAAUUGGGCACCUCAUGCCUCGUCGUCACCAAUAUUAAUAGCAAAAUGCCCAACAUUUCUAUCCUUAGACAACAUCCGCUGCUUGUUCAGAUAUUGGGUCCUGGCUUUGUUGAGGACUGAAUU
rnacentral:misc_RNA from 1 species